rnacentral:rRNA from 1 species
UGCCAGCCGCCGCGGUAAUACGGAGGGGGCUAGCGUUGUUCGGAAUUACUGGGCGUAAAGCGCACGUAGGCGGACUGAUAAGUUGGGGGUGAAAUCCCAAGGCUCAACCUUGGAACUGCCCUCGAAACUGUCAGUCUUGAGUCCGGAAGAGGUGAGUAGAAUUCCUAGUGUAGAGGUGAAAUUCGUAGAUAUUAGGAAGAACACCAGUGGCGAGGGCGGCUCUCUGGGCCGAUAUUGACGCUGAGGCGCGAAGGCGUGGGUAGCGAACGGGAUUAGAUA